UCAGUCUAGAGUUGACCGUACCGCAAACCGACACAGGUGGGCAGGAUGAAAAUUCUAAGGCGCUUGAGAGAACUCAGGAGAAGGAACUCGGCAAAUUAACACCGUAACUUCGGGAGAGGGUGUGCCCCGGUAGCGUGUAGAGACUUGCUCUCGAAGCGCGAUGGGGUUGCAGUGAAAUGGUGGCUGCGACUGUUUAAUAAAAACACAGCACUCUGCAAACGCGAAAGUGGACGUAUAGGGUGUGACGCCUGCCCGGUGCCGGAAGGUUAAGUGAUGGGGUGCAAGCUCUUGAUCGAAGCCCCGGUAAACGGCGGCCGUAACGAUAACGGUCCUAAGGUAGCGAAAUUCCUUGUCGGGUAAGUUCCGACCUGCACGAAUGGCGUAACGAUGGCCACACUGUCUCCUCCUGGGACUCAGCGAAGUUGAAAUGUUUGUGAAGAUGCAAUCUACCCGCGGCUAGACGGAAAGACCCCAUGAACCUUUACUGUAGCUUUGCAUUGGACUUUGAACCGGUUUGUGUAGGAUAGGUGGGAGACUGUGAAGCCGGGACGCUAGUUUCGGUGGAGUCAACCUUGAAAUACCACCCUGAUUUGUUUGAGGUUCUAACCUUGGUCCGUGAAUCCGGAUCGGGGACCGUGCAUGGUAGGCAGUUUGACUGGGGCGGUCUCCUCCCAAAAGGUAACGGAGGAGUACGAAGGUACGCUUAGGGCGGUCGGACAUCGCCCACAAAGUGCAAUGGCAAAAGCGUGCUUGACUGCGAGACCCACAAGUCGAGCAGGUACGAAAGUAGGUCAUAGUGAUCCGGUGGUUCUGUAUGGAAGGGCCAUCGCUCAACGGAUAAAAGGUACUCUGGGGAUAACAGGCUAAUUCCUCCCAAGAGUUCAUAUCGACGGGGGAGUUUGGCACCUCGAUGUCGGCUCAUCACAUCCUGGGGCUGUAGUCGGUCCCAAGGGUAUGGCUGUUCGCCAUUUAAAGUGGUACGCGAGCUGGGUUUAAAACGUCGUGAGACAGUUUGGUCCCUAUCUGCCGUGGGCGCUGGAAAUUUGAAGGGGGCUGCUCCUAGUACGAGAGGACCGGAGUGGACGAACCUCUGGUGUACCGGUUAUGACGCCAGUCGUAUCGCCGGGUAGCUAAGUUCGGAAGAGAUAAACGCUGAAAGCAUCUAAGCGUGAAACUCGCCUUAAGAUAAGAUUUCCCGGAGUCUUGAACUCCCUGAAGGGUCGUCGAAGACCACGACGUUGAUAGGUCAGGUGUGGAAGCGCAGCAAUGCGUUAAGCUAACUGAUACUAAUUGCCCGUGCGGCUUGAUCCU
rnacentral:rRNA from 1 species